UGGCGAAAACAAAGGCGAGCAGGAGAAGCGCGCACACAAAGAUUAUUCCGUCGGUUUCUCCAUGUUUGCCAGAUGAGUUAAAUCCUGUUUACUCGUUUACUCUACAUUAUAGCGCAUUUUCUGUGAGGCGUUGAGAGGAUUUAUGUUGUUUUUGGUUGGCGGUUUUCAGGCUUUUGUUUUUCUUUUCAAAUCGCCGAAGUGGAUUUACAGUGAGCUGGAAUCCACAGGUCUCCAUGUGUCGAUGAAGAAACCGUGGAUUUGCCAUGGAAACACCAUGCACUCGGGGUGCCUGAGGAGCUGGGGGCAGAUAGAACUGACAAGCACCGAACACUGUUUGGAUCUUAGACCAUUCUGAUUGAUAUAAACUCUUCCGGAAGGCCCUACCCACGACACCGCCCUCUCGCUCUCGCUCUCGCUCCGAGAAUGAGAACUCUCAAGAGGGCUCUGUUGCAUUCUCUCUCACUUUUAAUACUGUCAGUGCGGGUGAGCCACCCUGUGUGUGUGGACGGGGUGUCCGACACCGAGGCCGUGCUGGGGAAGCCCAUGAAGCUGACCUGCAUCUCCUGCCUGAAGAGGGAGGACAUCAGAGCCGUCACGCGCGUCUACUGGUCCCGCGUGACGGAGGACGAGCGGAUCCCUAUCUAUGAGUACGUGGACGGCCCCAGAGAGCUGGACAGCCUCAUGAAGGGGCGCCUGCUGUGGAUCGGCAGUAAGGACCUGCAGGAUGUGUCCGUCCGGAUCACCAACAUCACCCGCAACGACUCGGGACGCUACGAGUGUGAGGUGUUCCGCCAGUUUGAGUUCGACUUCUUCACUCCCUCCAUCACAAGCACCAAGGUCAUCAAGCUGGAGGUCAAAGAGAGAGCCAGUGUAGACCCGACGGCGCUGUACUCUGAGAUCAUGAUGUAUGUGCUGCUGGUGUCCCUCACCGGCUGGCUACUGGUGGAGAUGGUCUACUGCUACAGGAAGAUCUCCAAGUCUGACGAGCAGGCACAGGAUGCUGUGACAGACUACCUUGCAGUCCCCUCCGAUAAAGAACCUCCGGGCCCUGCAGUGAGCGACUAGAGCUGUGUGUCUCGCACAAACACCCCAACACCCCAACACCACUCAACCAAGGUACUCCUGAGGUCAUGCAGCGUUUGCUCUGACAGAGAGAGCCAAACAAGCGAGCAACUCUCCACUGAGCUGGGGGCGCCGACCUGCACUCCACCCCUGCCACCACCACCACCACCACCUCCACCACCAACACCCCUGCCUUCACCACCAACACCACCACUUCUGCCUCCACCACCACCACCUCUGCCCUGGAACAUCUCUGGCUGACUGAUCCUGUCCUCUCUGUCAAUUGUGCCUCAGCAGCAGUCUUGCAGUGUCUCCGGCAACGAUCCUCCUCUCUCCUUCUUUAUCUCCCUUCCUCUCUCUCACUCUCU